UCCAGUGGCGGAGCUAGCGUACAGCCGUUGGGUUCAGUUGAACCCAACGAUCUUUUUGCUGCACGUACGUGUAUAUGGGCCACAAAAGCCUCUCGUCUCCCCUGUCCCCUGUUUGCAUCCUCAUCACGAGAUCUCUCCUGUGCCCCC